rnacentral:rRNA from 1 species
AGAGUUUGAUCCUGGCUCAGAACGAACGCUGGCGGCAGGCCUAACACAUGCAAGUCGAGCGCACCCUUCGGGGCGAGCGGCGGACGGGUUAGUAACGCGUGGGAACAUACCCUUUGGUACGGAAUAGCCUCUGGAAACGGAGAGUAAUACCGUAUGUGCCCUUCGGGGGAAAGAUUUAUCGCCAAAGGAUUGGCCCGCGUUAGAUUAGAUAGUUGGUGGGGUAAUGGCCUACCAAGUCUACGAUCUAUAGCUGGUUUUAGAGGAUGAUCAGCAACACUGGGACUGAGACACGGCCCAGACUCCUACGGGAGGCAGCAGUGGGGAAUCUUAGACAAUGGGCGCAAGCCUGAUCUAGCCAUGCCGCGUGUGUGAUGAAGGCCUUAGGGUCGUAAAGCACUUUCGCCAGGGAUGAUAAUGACAGUACCUGGUAAAGAAACCCCGGCUAACUCCGUGCCAGCAGCCGCGGUAAUACGGAGGGGGUUAGCGUUGUUCGGAAUUACUGGGCGUAAAGCGUACGUAGGCGGAUCAGAAAGUUGGGGGUGAAAUCCCAGGGCUCAACCCUGGAACUGCCUCCAAAACUCCUGGUCUUGAGUACGAGAGAGGUGAGUGGAAUUCCGAGUGUAGAGGUGAAAUUCGUAGAUAUUCGGAGGAACACCAGUGGCGAAGGCGGCUCACUGGCUCGAUACUGACGCUGAGGUACGAAAGUGUGGGGAGCAAACAGGAUUAGAUACCCUGGUAGUCCACACCGUAAACGAUGAAUGCCAGUCGUCGGGCAGUAUACUGUUCGGUGACACACCUAACGGAUUAAGCAUUCCGCCUGGGGAGUACGGUCGCAAGAUUAAACUCAAAGGAAUUGACGGGGGCCCGCACAAGCGGUGGAGCAUGUGGUUUAAUUCGAAGCAACGCGCAGAACCUUACCAACCCUUGACAUCCUGUGCUAACCCGAGAGAUCGGGCGUUCACUUCGGUGACGCAGUGACUGUGCUGCAUGGCUGUCGUCAGCUCGUGUCGCGAGAUGUUCGGUUAAGUCCGGCAACGAGCGCAACCCACAUCUUUAGUUGCCAUCAUUUAGUUGGGCACUCUAAAGAAACUGCCCGUGAUAAGCGGGAGGAAGGUGUGGAUGACGUCAAGUCCUCAUGGCCCUUACGGGUUGGGCUACACACGUGCUACAAUGGCAGUGACAAUGGGUUAAUCCCAAAAAGCUGUCUCAGUUCGGAUUGGGGUCUGCAACUCGACCCCAUGAAGUCGGAAUCGCUAGUAAUCGCGUAACAGCAUGACGCGGUGAAUACGUUCCCGGGCCUUGUACACACCGCCCGUCACACCAUGGGAGUUGGUUCUACCCGACGGCCGUGCGCCAACCCGCAAGGGAGGCAGCGGACCACGGUAGGAUCAGCGACUGGGGUGAAGUCGUAACAAGGUA